rnacentral:rRNA from 1 species
AUUGAACGCUGGCGGAAUGCUUUACACAUGCAAGUCGAACGGCAGCACGGGGUCAACCCUGGUGGCGAGUGGCGAACGGGUGAGUAAUACAUCGGAACGUGCCCGGUCGUGGGGGAUAACGUAGCGAAAGUUACGCUAAUACCGCAUACGAUCUGAGGAUGAAAGCGGGGGACCUUCGGGCCUCGCGCGAUCGGAGCGGCCGAUGUCAGAUUAGGUAGUUGGUGGGGUAAAGGCCUACCAAGCCGACGAUCUGUAGCUGGUCUGAGAGGACGACCAGCCACACUGGGACUGAGACACGGCCCAGACUCCUACGGGAGGCAGCAGUGGGGAAUUUUGGACAAUGGGCGCAAGCCUGAUCCAGCCAUUCCGCGUGAAGGACGAAGGCCUUCGGGUUGUAAACUGCUUUUGUAUGGAACGAAAAGGCUCUGGCUAAUACCUGGGGCUCAUGACGGUACCGGAAGAAUAAGCACCGGCUAACUACGUG